rnacentral:ncRNA from 2 species
AUAUCGAAGAGAGGUCGCAAGUGAUAUCAGUAACUGUUUUCAGAUGGUAAAGCAUCGUUUAAAAACAGUGAAAGGAGAGCUUGCCGAAGCAAGUGCUGCUUUAACAGCACUGUGUUGGGCUCCUGUUUAAAAGACUGGAGACUGUCGCGAAUUUCGCGGAGAGCUAUCGAGUAU